rnacentral:rRNA from 1 species
AGCGAGGCCCUCCUUCGGGGGGUGCCCUAGCGGCGAACGGGUGAGUAACACGUGGGCAACCUGCCCUCAGCUCUGGGAUAACUCCAAGAAAUUGGUGCUAAUACCGGAUGUGACCGCUGACCGCAUGGUCUGGUGGUGGAAAGAUUCAUCGGCUGAGGAUGGGCCCGCGGCCUAUCAGCUUGUUGGUGGGGUAAUGGCCCACCAAGGCGACGACGGGUAGCCGGCCUGAGAGGGUGACCGGCCACACUGGGACUGAGACACGGCCCAGACUCCUACGGGAGGCAGCAGUGGGGAAUAUUGCGCAAUGGGCGAAAGCCUGACGCAGCGACGCCGCGUGAGGGAUGACGGCCUUCGGGUUGUAAACCUCUUUCAGUAGGGACGAAGCGAAAGUGACGGUACCUACAGAAGAAGCACCGGCCAACUACGUGCCAGCAGCCGCGGUAAUACGUAGGGUGCAAGCGUUGUCCGGAAUUAUUGGGCGUAAAGAGCUCGUAGGCGGUCUGUCGCGUCGGCUGUGAAAACCCGAGGCUCAACCUCGGGCCUGCAGUCGAUACGGGCAAACUAGAGUACUGCAGGGGAGACUGGAAUUCCUGGUGUAGCGGUGAAAUGCGCAGAUAUCAGGAGGAACACCGGUGGCGAAGGCGGGUCUCUGGGCAGUAACUGACGCUGAGGAGCGAAAGCGUGGGGAGCGAACAGGAUUAGAUACCCUGGUAGUCCACGCCGU